CAGCCGCCGCGGUAAUACGAAGGGUGCAAGCGUUAAUCGGAAUUACUGGGCGUAAAGCGUGCGUAGGCGGUUUGUUAAGUCUGUUGUGAAAUCCCCGGGCUCAACCUGGGAAUGGCAAUGGAUACUGGCAAGCUAGAGUGUGUCAGAGGAUGGUGGAAUUCCCGGUGUAGCGGUGAAAUGCGUAGAGAUCGGGAGGAACAUCAGUGGCGAAGGCGGCCAUCUGGGACAACACUGACGCUGAGGCACGAAAGCGUGGGGAGCAAACAGGAUUAGAUACCCCGGUAGUCCCUGUCUCUUAUAC
rnacentral:rRNA from 1 species